UUUUUUUUUUUUUUCACAGGAGAAAAUUAAAGCUUUAUAACAUGUAUACAUGGGAGAGGCCCAGGCAAACUGAGAAACUCACCAAAAUGGCAGAAUUUCACCCCUUAAAUACCACCCUCAGCUAAAGACAAAGGAGGAUGUUGAGCGUGGGGGAGUCAGUUGUGGAAGAUCACCAGAAAAGCACAGUAAACAAGAGUAAGGCUAUCAUGCAGAUUUAAGUCCUUGCCUUCUGCAUUAAGAGUUUCAAGAGAUGAGGUCAUCCCCCUUUUUCCUAGUACAGAGGGAGAAACAUUUACAGAAGGAGAUUUCCUUUACAAAUGUAAAUGUCUCUUAACGAAGGGUAACUUCCGCUUCUCAGAGUUUCUCUCCUGUCUGCAGUUUUUUUUUAAGUAACCAGCCCAAAAUAAUCCUCAUGCCAAAGAGACAUAUCUUAUCUUGGGGUGGCCAAUUCCAGUCCCCCACAGUCCUGCCUUUGAAACUUUUAAGUUUCACAGUUCUUUGAAACUUUAAGAAAUUUCAUAGUCCAGAAGCUGAGUGGCAGAUUGUUGCAUCCCACUGAACACAUUUCUUAGUCCUGAUAAUAGAUCAGUCCAGUUAAAUUCAUUUUAGAAGGCAGUGAUGCAGGUUGGCUCCCAAAGUGAGGCCUAUAUUAUGUCUCUGAUGAUGUCAUCAGGCAUUCGGGUAUCUUUCAGAGUGGCUUACAGCUUACACAGCCUCACACAUGAAUCUCUCUUAAGUUUGUAUCAAGUUGUUAAGCUUCAGUUUGCAAGUCUUCAGGAAAAAGGUCAGGUUCAGUUCUCAAUGAUUCAGGUGAGAUUGCUGGAAUCUCUGUAAACAAGGUACCAGGUCAAUAUUUCCAAGUGGCUUUAUUCCACAAAGUCCAAUCUUUGUUCCUGAAAAGCUGUCUUGUCAUAUCUGAGCCUGUGUGUUUCUCUCCAAUGUGAUAGUCCAGUCAAAGCAAAGUGUUUCCAAAUUCUGGAGGGAUCAGGUAGGGAGAAAAAUAUAAAUGUUUCAGUUCUGCUCACAAAGGUAUAAUUUCACCAAGUUGUCAUCAGUUCGUAUGGUCCUGUGUAAUCGAUUCUUUUUGGUCUUAAUCUUCUUUAGCAGUUUUACGGGGUCAUCAGUUUCUCCAUUAGACUUCUCUAAUUUUGUAGCCAGUUCAGUUUUAUAAUCAGAAAGCAUAUCAGAAACCUGCAUUCCAGAGUGAGUGUCAGAGUUCUUUCCAUGAAUCUCUCAGAAGACAAGACAUAUUUACAAAAGCAAAAGCAUCAAAGGAAAACAAUAACUGUCUGUAAAUGACAAAAGAUUUAAUGACAAUUCACAAGGAAAUUUGGUUAUUUCUGUGGUAUACAACACCUUAAAAUAAUAACUAGAAUUAUGGCUGACAACGAGGACUAAUCAGAAUUUUAGGAAUAUUAUAAAUUUCAAAACAUUUAUAUCAAUAACAUUUACACACAUAAUACCACCUAAGAAACUUUAUCAUUACUUAUCUGACAAUGCUUCCCAUGUAAUUUAACAGACCAAAUAAACCUAAUUAGUUUAGAAUCUUUCUCCUUAUAGGAAGAGAGAGCAAAUUUCUCUGAGAAGUCCCAGGGGCCCUCUGAAAAUCCCUAGAGAAAUUCUCUUUCUUCAUCCAGGUCAAAAGAAAGCCGUUAUUCAGGACUUGAAUAUUUUUUGAGGGAGAAGCUUGUCAAAAAUACCAAAAGGCAGGGCCAGCCCAGUGGCACAGCAAUUAAGUUCACAUGUUCAGCUUCUUGGCAGCCUGGGGUUCGCUGGUCCGGAUCGCAGGUGCAGACAUGGCACCGCUUGGCAAAAGCCAUGCUGUAGUAGGCGCCCCACACAUAAAGUAGAGGAAGACGGGCGUGCAUGUUAGCUCAGGGCCACUCUUCCUCAGCAAAAAGAGGAGUAUUGGCAGUAGUUAGCUCAGGGCUAGUCUCUUGCUGCCUCUCAUCAGGGGUCCAGGAUCUCUUGGCUGCAGCAGUCCAGGAGUGAGCAGUGUCCAACCAGUGAAAUUUUAUCCCAUCCAAGUCACCAAACUGUAGGGGAGGAAGACAUUUCCUCUACAUGUUCUGGGUCCUCCUGGCUGGACAACAAAUUAAAUUCACAUGAGACAGAAUAACAGGAGAAAAUUAAACAAAGCUUUAUAACAUAUACACAUGGGAGAGGCUCAGGCAAACUGAGAAACUCC
ensembl:lncRNA